rnacentral:misc_RNA from 1 species
UUUCCGUAGGUGAACCUGCGGAAGGAUCAUUAACACUUACCGAUAUAUUUUUAAAUAUAAACUACAACCUUGAAUCGUAAUGUAUAUAUAAUAAAAAAAAAUAUAUAUUAUAUAUAUUUUUUAAAUUUCCUUUUUUUUUUUUUUAUUUAAUAAAAAAAUGGGGUUUAAAUAAAUUUAAAAAAUAAUAAUAAUAAUAAUAAUUUAUUUUUUUUUUUUUUAAAUUAUAUUUAUUUAAUAAACUACAUAUUUAAUAAAUUUUAAAUUGGUUUAUUUUAUUUUUUUUAAAAAAAUUUAUUUUUUUUUAAAAAAAAUUAAAAAAUUUAAUAUAAAAACAACUUUUAACAACGGAUAUCUUGGUUCUC